rnacentral:rRNA from 1 species
UACGGGGGGGGCAAGCGUUGUUCGGAAUUACUGGGCGUAAAGGGCUCGUAGGCGGCCAACUAAGUCAUACGUGAAAUCUCUCGGCUUAACCGGGGAACUGCGUCUGAUACUGGAUGGCUUGAGUUCGGGAGAGGGAUGCGGAAUUCCAGGUGUAGCGGUGAAAUGCGUAGAUAUCUGGAGGAACACCGGUGGCGAAGGCGGCAUCCUGGACCGGCAUUGACGCUGAGGCGCGAAAGCCAGGGGAGCAAACGGG